rnacentral:rRNA from 1 species
AUUGAACGCUGGCGGCAGGCCUAACACAUGCAAGUCGAGCGGAUGAAGGGAGCUUGCUCCUGGAUUCAGCGGCGGACGGGUGAGUAAUGCCUAGGAAUCUGCCUGGUAGUGGGGGAUAACGUCCGGAAACGGGCGCUAAUACCGCAUACGUCCUGAGGGAGAAAGUGGGGACCUUCGGACCUCACGCUAUCAGAUGAGCCUAGGUCGGAUUAGCUAGUUGGUGGGGUAAAGGCCUACCAAGGCGACGAUCCGUAACUGGUCUGAGAGGAUGAUCAGUCACACUGGAACUGAGACACGGUCCAGACUCCUACGGGAGGCAGCAGUGGGGAAUAUUGGACAAUGGGCGAAAGCCUGAUCCAGCCAUGCCGCGUGUGUGAAGAAGGUCUUCGGAUUGUAAAGCACUUUAAGUUGGGAGGAAGGGCAGUAAGUUAAUACCUUGCUGUUUUGACGUUACCAACAGAAUAAGCACCGGCUAACUUCGUG